AACAAGGAUUCCCCUAGUAGCGGCGAGCGAAGCGGGAAGAGCUCAAAUUUGUAAUCUGGCGUCCUCAGGGCGUCCGAGUUGUAAUCUAUAGAAACGUUUUCCGUGCCGGACCGUGUCCAAGUCCCUUGGAACAGGGUAUCAAAGAGGGUGACAAUCCCGUACUUGACACGACGACCGGUGCUCUGUGAUACGUUUUCUACGAGUCGAGUUGUUUGGGAAUGCAGCUCAAAAUGGGUGGUAAAUUCCAUCUAAAGCUAAAUAUAGGCGAGAGACCGAUAGCGAACAAGUACCGUGAGGGAAAGAUGAAAAGCACUUUGGAAAGAGAGUUAAACAGUAUGUGAAAUUGUUGAAAGGGAAACGAUUGAAGUCAGUCAUGUUCAUUGGAUUCAGCUGGUUCUGCCAGUGUAUUUCCUUUGAACGGGUCAACAUCAGUUUGAGCCGGCGGAUAAUGGCAGAGGGAAUGUGGCACCUCCGGGUGUGUUAUAGCCCUUUGUCGCAUACGUCGGCCCAGACUGAGGAAUGCAGCUCGCCUUUAUGGC
rnacentral:rRNA from 1 species